rnacentral:rRNA from 1 species
AUACGAAGGGGGCAAGCGUUGUUCGGAAUAACAGGGCGUAAAGCGCACGUAGGCGGAAUGUUAAGUUAGAGGUGAAAUCCCAGGGCUCAACCCUGGAACGGCCUUUAAUACUGGCAAUCUAGAGACCGAGAGAGGUGAGUGGAAUUCCGAGUGUAGAGGUGAAAUUCGUAGAUAUUCGGAGGAACACCAGUGGCGAAGGCGGUUCACUGGCUCGGUACUGACGCUGAGGUGCGAAAGCGUGGGGAGCAAACAGGAUUAGAAACCCCAGUAGUCC